rnacentral:lncRNA from 1 species
AGUCCAAUGUUUAUUGAAUUUCUCCGUAACCAGACACUCAAAUUAAACCAAUCCAACACCAGGUAAAUUUCAAGACACGGGGCAACAAAUCUCAUGAAGAGCUCAACACCUAAUCUUGCCAUUAUGGUGGUCAAAACAGUCACUCAAUCUAUUGCUGCAUGUGGUACGUUACAACAGAGUCAGUUUAGGUGUUUUAGUCAUAAGUUGAGCUAUAUAUAUCAAAAUUGGACACAAGAGGAUGGGUUGGAAAGCUAAGAAGUAUACCUACAACUUUUAUGAAGGGCUCAAAUACAGAGGGAAAAUAAAACGAAUAGAAAAACAGUCCUUAAACACACCCAUUAACAUUUUGUCCUAAUUUCAGCUUACUUAAAUCAUAUACAAGGUAGAGAUUUCUACCACAUACUCACUACUCAUCAAAUAUCAUCUUAAGAUCACAAAUCCUCAAAGAAUAACAAGAAAACUUAAGGCCUUAUUCAUCAAUAGGUUCUGCCACUCUUGGAGGAUGAAGAAGAAAAUGUUUUCCUCAUCAAUUCAACAUAUAAGCAUGCUUAGAAAUCUCCCAAGAACACAUGUAUACCACCAAAAUUCAAUAAUCAAAUUAUUUCAUAUAAAAUUUCCAAUUUUCACAAAAUAGUAUAAACUUCACAAAAUCAAAAAUUN